CAGUCGCCACGGUAAUACGUAUGGUGCAAGCGUUAAUCGGAAUUACUGGGCGUAAAGCGUGCGCAGGCGGUUUUGUAAGUCUGUCGUGAAAUCCCCGGGCUCAACCUGGGAAUGGCGAUGGAGACUGCAAGGCUAGAAUCUGGCAGAGGGGGGUAGAAUUCCACGUGUAGCAGUGAAAUGCGUAGAUAUGUGGAGGAACACCGAUGGCGAAGGCAGCCCCCUGGGCUAAGAUUGACGCUCAUGCACGAAAGCGUGGGGAGCAAACAGGAUUAGAUACCCCUGUAGUCCCUGUCUCUUAUAC
rnacentral:rRNA from 1 species